AGAGUUUGAUCAUGGCUCAGAGCGAACGCUGGCGGCAGGCUUAACACAUGCAAGUCGAACGGGCACUUCGGUGCUAGUGGCAGACGGGUGAGUAACACGUGGGAACGUACCUUUCGGUUCGGAAUAAUUCAGGGAAACUUGGACUAAUACCGGAUAAGCACUUCGGGGGAAAGAUUUAUCGCCGAUAGAUCGGCCCGCGUCUGAUUAGCUAGUUGGUGAGGUAAUGGCUCACCAAGGCGACGAUCAGUAGCUGGUCUGAGAGGAUGAUCAGCCACAUUGGGACUGAGACACGGCCCAAACUCCUACGGGAGGCAGCAGUGGGGAAUAUUGGACAAUGGGCGAAAGCCUGAUCCAGCCAUGCCGCGUGUGUGAUGAAGGCCUUAGGGUUGUAAAGCACUUUUGUCCGGGAAGAUAAUGACUGUACCGGAAGAAUAAGCCCCGGCUAACUUCGUGCCAGCAGCCGCGGUAAUACGAAGGGGGCUAGCGUUGCUCGGAAUCACUGGGCGUAAAGGGCGCGUAGGCGGACUCUUAAGUCGGGGGUGAAAGCCCAGGGCUCAACCCUGGAAUUGCCUUCGAUACUGAGAGUCUUGAGUUCGGAAGAGGUUGGUGGAACUGCGAGUGUAGAGGUGAAAUUCGUAGAUAUUCGCAAGAACACCAGUGGCGAAGGCGGCCAACUGGUCCGAUACUGACGCUGAGGCGCGAAAGCGUGGGGAGCAAACAGGAUUAGAUACCCUGGUAGUCC
rnacentral:rRNA from 1 species